CCUCCUUCAGACUUUCACCGUUUGGCAAGGACUUCAGAAACUGAUUAACAGAACCUCCAGGAUGCUUCAUGUGAAAGACAGACAGGCCUUUAACUUUCAGUUUGGUGUCUUCACUGGUUUUGCCUGCUGUCAUCCUGAUCCCCUCAUGCAGAGGACAGUCGCAGGUGAUUUGUUCACCUCAGCCAAUCAUAGCCCUGGCUAGUGAUGAUGUUGUGUUUUCAUGUCACCUUGAACCUCCUAUCAGUGCCGGUUCCAGGACAGCGGAGUGGACCAGACCUGGUUUGGACCCAGAGUACAUCCAUGUCCACCAAGAUGGACGACUGUUGCAUGAU